rnacentral:rRNA from 1 species
UCUGGUGACGAUGGCAGAGAGGUCACACCUGUUCCCAUACCGAACACAGAAGUUAAGCUUUCGAGCGCCGAUGGUAGUUGGACUGACGUCCCGCGAGAGUAGGACGUUGCCGGGC